rnacentral:rRNA from 1 species
AUUGAACGCUGGCGGCAGGCCUAACACAUGCAAGUCGAGCGGAUGAAGGGAGCUUGCUCCUGGAUUCAGCGGCGGACGGGUGAGUAAUGCCUAGGAAUCUGCCUGGUAGUGGGGGAUAACGUCCGGAAACGGGCGCUAAUACCGCAUACGUCCUGAGGGAGAAAGUGGGGGAUCUUCGGACCUCACGCUAUCAGAUGAUCCUAGGUCGGAUUAGCUAGUUGGUGGGGUAAAGGCCUACCAAGGCGACGAUCCGUAACUGGUCUGAGAGGAUGAUCAGUCACACUGGAACUGAGACACGGUCCAGACUCCUACGGGAGGCAGCAGUGGGGAAUAUUGGACAAUGGGCGAAAGCCUGAUCCAGCCAUGCCGCGUGUGUGAAGAAGGUCUUCGGAUUGUAAAGCACUUUAAGUUGGGAGGAAGGGCAGUAAGUUAAUACCUUGCUGUUUUGACGUUACCAACAGAAUAAGCACCGGCUAACUUCGU